UGGGGAAUAUUGGACAAUGGGCGCAAGCCUGAUCCAGCAAUGCCGCGUGAGUGAUGAAGGCCUUCGGGUUGUAAAGCUCUUUCGCCCGCGAGGAUGAUGACGGUAGCGGGAGAAGAAGCCCCGGCUAACUUCGUGCCAGCAGCCGCGGUAAUACGAAGGGGGCGAGCGUUGUUCGGAUUUACUGGGCGUAAAGGGCGCGUAGGCGGCGUGAGACGUCAGGCGUGAAAGCCCCGGGCUCAACCUGGGAAUUGCGCUUGGGACACUCAUGCUCGAGUUCGGGAGAGGAGCGUGGAAUUCCCAGUGUAGAGGUGAAAUUCGUAGAUAUUGGGAAGAACACCGGUGGCGAAGGCGGCGCUCUGGACCGAGACUGACGCUGAGGCGCGAAAGCGUGGGGAGCAAACAGGAUUAGAUACCCCCGUAGUCC
rnacentral:rRNA from 1 species